rnacentral:rRNA from 1 species
CCUACGGGUGGCAGCAGUCGAGAAUCAUUCACAAUGGGGGAAACCCUGAUGGUGCGACGCCGCGUGGGGGAAUGAAGGUCUUCGGAUUGUAAACCUCUGUCAUGUGGGAGCAAAUUAAAAAGAUAGUACCACAAGAGGAAGAGACGGCUAACUCUGUGCCAGCAGCCGCGGUAAUACAGAGGUCUCAAGCGUUGUUCGGAAUCACUGGGCGUAAGGCGUGCGUAGGCUGUUUCGUAAGUCGUGUGUGAAAGGCGCGGGCUCAACCCGCGGACGGCACAUGAUACUGCGAGACUAGAGUAAUGGAGGGGGAACCGGAAUUCUCGGUGUAGCAGUGAAAUGCGUAGAUAUCGAGAGGAACACUCGUGGCGAAGGCGGGUUCCUGGACAUUAACUGACGCUGAGGCACGAAGGCCAGGGGAGCGAAAGGGAUUAGAUACCCCUGUAGUC